ensembl:lncRNA
GGGACAGAGAAGGGCAGGCAGUAGGCGUGAAGCUGUGAGCAGAGUAGAGAGCAACUUGGCGGAGCAGCAAGCAGAGUAGGCAAGUGCUGAGGUUUGGCGUGAGUAGCAGCAAAAGCCCAUAGCAUCAAGAAGCAGGAAGUGAGGAGAAGGUAAGUGAAGGGCAGGCAAGGUAAUGGGAAGCAAAGGCAAGGGGAAAGGGGAGGGUAAGGGAGAAAGAGGGAUGGGAAGGGGAGGGGAGGGGAUGGGUGAAGAGCAGAGCGGAGGGAAGGGCUGAGGGGAGGGCUGAAGGCAAACCAAUGAUGAAAAAAGAAAAGAAAAAAUAAGAACAAAAAAUAUGAAAUAAGAGAAAAAUAAAAAGAAAAAUAAGAAAAAGAGAAAAAAUGAAAAGAAAAAAAGAAAAAAUGAACGAAAAAGAUAAAAUAGAGAAAAGAAAAAAGGAAAUGAACAAAAAAGAGAAAAAAGAGAAAAGAAAAAAAAUGAACAAAAAAGAGAAAAAAGAGAAAAGAAAAAAAAAUGAACAAAAAAGAGAAAAAAGAGAAAAGAAAAAAAAAUGAACAAAAAAGAGAAAAAAGAAAAGAAAAAAAUGAACAAAAAAGAGAAAAA